CGCGGCCCCGGCGAUUGCGUUCCGGGCCACAGCGGGCCCCGGGGGCACAGCCCGGCACCCGGGGACGCGGGCGCGUCAAGGGCUCAUUGCGGGCCUCGCUGAGGGGCCGUGGAUCCGCGUGUUAGACAUUAGGGAAGGUCACAAAGCCACAGCCUCUUAGAAAUUACAAGAUAUGCUGCAAUGGGUUGAAACUUGUAGGAAAGCAAUUAAUGACCAGGAGAUCUGAUGAAGACAACUUGUACCUGAUGAGGAGCCACAGAUGGGUUGUCUUGCAGGAAGGUCAACCCACAGGUCAAGGGAGGUGAUUCUCCCCCUCCACUUCACUCUUGUAAGACCCCACCUGGCAUUCUGCAUCCAGCUCUGGGACCCCAGCAUAAGAGGGACAUCGAUGUGUUGAAGAGAGUCCAGAGGAGGCCCUAAAGAUGCUCUGAGGGCCAGAGAACCUCUCCUAUGAAGACAGGCCAAAGAUUUGGGGCUGUCCAGCCUGGGGAAGAGAAGGCUCCAGAGUGAUAUUCCAUAAUCUAAAGCGGGGCUACAGAAAACUGGAGAGGGACUGUUUACAAGGCCAUGAAGAGAUAGGAUGAGAGGGAAUGCCUUAAACUGAAAGAGGAUAGAUUUAGGUUAGAUAUUAGGAAGAAAUUCUUCACUGUGAGGAUGGUGAGACACUGCAACAGGUCCCCCAGAGAAGCAGUGGAUUCUUCAACCCUGGAAGUGUUCAAGGCCAGACUGGGAAGGGCUCUGAGCAACCUGUUCUUGCUGAAGGUAUCCCUGCCUAUGGCAAGGGGAUUGGAACCCCCAUUCCUGAAGCCAUGGCAAUUGUCCCCUUGUUACAAAGACUAUUGGGUAGGUUUGAACUAGACAGAAGGAAAACUCUUUUCCAGAGCUGGGACAGGCAUCUGUGAGGAAGGAGUCUGUCCAUGGAGGUUUCUAGAUCAUCUAGAGAAGAUGAUGGGUGACUUGCUUUACUGUUUUAAGCAGCAUUGUGGAGUAGACACACACACACACACUCUGCAACUAACCCAGCUUUUCAUGAGACACUAAUUUUGCAAAAUCACAGAGUUUAGGGAAUGUCUAUAGGAAAUCCCACAUCAGUCCAAACAAGGGUUUUUUUAAGCAAGUCCAGAAACUAAAGUUUGAUGCUCAUAACCCCAAAUCACCAGGUCAACUCACAGAAGCAGACAACCUUAGAUGGUUUUUCAACCAGCGUAUCUGACUUCAGAGGAGACAAGACAAGAAGGUGCCACAAACUGGCAAAUGGGUCUUGGUUUAGAGAUAUCUCACAACCCUUUCUCAAGGAAGAAGUGAUAGUCAACAUGAGAGACCAUCUCUCCAGUGUCCCUUGGCUCUACAUCCCCACUCAAACUUCGGUCACCCCUGCAGCAUCAGAAUUUCUUAACCAAAAUAAUCGGUUUGUCAUUUUCAAAGCAGAUGGCGUUUCCCUUGCAACAGGACCUGAUUUCUUUACAUCAAAGAUCAGACAAUCAAAGUUGUGCUUGGACAACUCUUACAGAACACAGGAGCCAUACUCAGGGCUUGUCCAUGUGCAAAGGUUGGACUAUUUCUCUACUGAACAGACAAAUCAAAGCCAUGCUGAAAGGCUCUGUGCAGAGUCAAAUACAAACUCUGAAAGGAUGUGAAAUCGGUACCUAUGUGUGGGAAGAGAAAAGACAUCAUCUUAAUUCACUUCUUAAUCUUCUAUAAUAUUUUGUUCCCUUUCUGUUUUCGCCCCCUCUUCCAUUUCAGCAGUCUUAAACAUCAUUUACACUCUGAAUGUUAUUUGUCUGACCUCAUGCAAGGUGAAAUUCCUGCUGAACUCUUCAUGCUAAGAAAAUACUCUUGAGCCUAAUGCUGAAAGUUGCUGAACAUCUUUCCAAUGCUGCAAAGCCUCAGCUUUCAUUUACCUCAAGAUAAGUGGCUGACACACUGCACAUCGUAGGAUGUGCUCCUGCUGGGUCUGAGCAAAGAAGAGCUCAGAAUUCAGCUAACCAUCCAUGGUGCAAACUGUUGCCACAGGAUUUAUUGGAUGACCUGCCUGCACAUGCAUUUUUUAGAAGACUUUGGCACAGAUACAUUUAGAGCAACAAUGCUCUAAAC